UUAGUUCUCUAAACGAGAACUUUCCUCAGAGUCUAAACACAGAGGAAGGUUCUUGUUUGAAGAACCAAAACUAUAGUAUUUUCAUCUCUAUGCUUUAUUUGCGCCUUAUCCUUAGGGAUAUCUAAGUUUUUAUAAGU